GGCUCAGGACGAACGCUGGCGGCGUGCUUAACACAUGCAAGUCGAACGAUGAUGCCCAGCUUGCUGGGUGGAUUAGUGGCGAACGGGUGAGUAAUACGUGAGUAACCUGCCCUUGACUCUGGGAUAAGCCUGGGAAACCGGGUCUAAUACUGGAUACUACUUCCUGCCGCAUGGUGGGUGGUGGAAAGGGUUUUACUGGUUUUGGAUGGGCUCACGGCCUAUCAGCUUGUUGGUGGGGUAAUGGCUCACCAAGGCGACGACGGGUAGCCGGCCUGAGAGGGUGACCGGCCACACUGGGACUGAGACACGGCCCAGACUCCUACGGGAGGCAGCAGUGGGGAAUAUUGCACAAUGGGCGGAAGCCUGAUGCAGCGACGCCGCGUGAGGGAUGACGGCCUUCGGGUUGUAAACC
rnacentral:rRNA from 1 species